UACUGCAGUCGUACGAGGUAACGCUGAUUGAUUAUGACGUACUUGUACUGAUUGAGAUUUUAACACGAAGUGAGUGGCGAACGGGUGAGUAACACGUGGGUAACCUGCCCAGAAGUAGGGGAUAACACCUGGAAACAGAUGCUAAUACCGUAUAAUAGAGAAAACCGCAUGGUUUUCUUUUAAAAGAUGGCUCUGCUAUCACUUCUGGAUGGACCCGCGGCGUAUUAGCUAGUUGGUGAGGUAAAGGCUCACCAAGGCAGUGAUACGUAGCCGACCUGAGAGGGUAAUCGGCCACAUUGGGACUGAGACACGGCCCAGACUCCUACGGGAGGCAGCAGUAGGGAAUCUUCCACAAUGGACGCAAGUCUGAUGGAGCAACGCCGCGUGAGUGAAGAAGGGUUUCGGCUCGUAAAGCUCUGUUGUUAAAGAAGAACGUGGGUAAGAGUAACUGUUUACCCAGUGACGGUAUUUAACCAGAAAGCCACGGCUAACUACGUGCCAGCAGCCGCGGUAAUACGUAGGUGGCAAGCGUUAUCCGGAUUUAUUGGGCGUAAAGCGAGCGCAGGCGGUCUUUUAAGUCUAAUGUGAAAGCCUUCGGCUCAACCGAAGAAGUGCAUUGGAAACUGGGAGACUUGAGUGCAGAAGAGGACAGUGGAACUCCAUGUGUAGCGGUGAAAUGCGUAGAUAUAUGGAAGAACACCAGUGGCGAAGGCGGCUGUCUGGUCUGCAACUGACGCUGAGGCUCGAAAAGCAUGGGUAGCGAACAGGAWUAGAUACCCUGGUAGUCCAUGCCGUAAACGAUGAUUACUAAWGUGUUGGAGGGUUUCCGCCCUUCAGUGCUGCAGCUAACGCAUUAAGUAAUCCGCCUGGGGAGUACGACCGCAAGGUUGAAACUCAAAAGAAUUGACGGGGGCCCGCACAAGCGGUGGAGCAUGUGGUUUAAUUCGAAGCUACGCGAAGAACCUUACCAGGUCUUGACAUCUUCUGACAGUCUAAGAGAUUAGAGGUUCCCUUCGGGGACAGAAUGACAGGUGGUGCAUGGUUGUCGUCAGCUCGUGUCGUGAGAUGUUGGGUUAAGUCCCGCAACGAGCGCAACCCUUAUUACUAGUUGCCAGCAUUAAGUUGGGCACUCUAGUGAGACUGCCGGUGACAAACCGGAGGAAGGUGGGGACGACGUCAAAUCAUCAUGCCCCUUAUGACCUGGGCUACACACGUGCUACAAUGGAUGGUACAACGAGUCGCGAGACCGCGAGGUUAAGCUAAUCUCUUAAAACCAUUCUCAGUUCGGACUGUAGGCUGCAACUCGCCUACACGAAGUCGGAAUCGCUAGUAAUCGCGGAUCAGCAUGCCGCGGUGAAUACGUUCCCGGGCCUUGUACACACCGCCCGUCUACACCAUGAGAGUUUGUAACACCCAAAGCCGU
rnacentral:rRNA from 1 species